UGUGAGACACUAGUACAAGGAUGUAGGUAUUCAUUUGGAAAAUAAGUCCACUGAAUCGACUCGAUGAAAGAGAAUAUCUUAUAGAAGCCUUACUUACAUGUCAAAGAUGGUUCUCUAAGUGGGAGUUGUGCAAGUGAUCUUUAGACCUGAGACCAUCAUAGAAUCUUGUGCACAUGAACUUAUAUUUUGAUUCAUACCCAGGC
rnacentral:lncRNA from 1 species